ensembl:lncRNA
GUAGAUCCAGUGCACAGAAAUCUUAUUCUUAAAAUCUGGAAGCCUGGCCAGUCUCAAACAGUAAGACAGCAUGGAAAAUAUUAACUUUAAAAAGUCAAUGAUUGCUUCAUUGCUUAUGGGUGCUGUGAACCAAGAUGCCAGCAUUGUGGUGCAAGUAAAUCCAAAUUUGACAGCCAUGCAGCUUGUCAGGAACACAAAUUCACUUGUGAAUAAAUUCUGUUGAAAAGCAUACAAAGAAUUCCAUCAAGACAAGCCAAGUUGUCAGAUGUCUUCAUUAUUUUCAGGACACUUCUGAUGUAAAAGAUGAGUAAAGGAUGAGUCUAAGAAAUGGUGCUGUAUUUGAUUAUAUUUUUUCAGAACUUUUCAGGAAUCCAGGAUGAAACAGAAAGCGAUAGCUGACCAUUUAUUAGCAAUUUUUCCCAUUGGUAAAAAACCUGUAGGGAAGAUCAUGAAUGUUAACAUAUUCGGUACUCUGGAAUAAAAAUGGUCAAACCUAUUCAAUGUCUAAGCAGGAUAUCCCCACUUAGUUCUUGCCACAAGGUAGUAGCAUAGCUUUUCCCUUCAGUCAUUUAAGCCAGAUUUAGAACAAUCUAUUUGUAGAAAACGGAAUUUAAAUUUGGUUAAUUCCCUCAAAUCCUUGCACUGACCACACUCAUGAAAACUGGCUACCCAAAGAAAUUAAACACUGACGUUCUUUAACUUCUCCCUGCAUAUGUUGCUGCCUCACAGAAAACUGUCAAACAUCUUAAGUCAUUAUUUUAUCCAUUACAGUGAACAAAGAACUGAUGAUCAGAAUGGCCAUCUCUGCAUCUAUUCUGACUACCAGUGCUGAAGUGGCCUUUGGAGAUCUCUGGAAAGCUGCACUGGACAACACUUUACUGGAGAAGAAUAACCAUAUCUGGUGUUAUUUUCCAGCAGAAUUCGUUUUGUUGAGGACACAAAACAAAAGCCUUUCUGUCACUGGUCCUAAAACCAUUUCACAAAGAUGGACAAAAGGAUUCAUAUGAGGAGACCUGGAUUUCACCAGCGUCGCCUUGUGUGAGCACAAAUACAGACUGUGAUGAUCUGCUGGCUCAGUCACACACUCAGACUUGCUGGUGGCUUGGUGAAGUGCUAGUUUCUGGACCAGAGAUCCUGCUGGAUGUGCAUAGACCCCACUAGCAGGAAUUUUUGAUCCCUCUCCACGUCUGCAGAGAUUUGCACAUGCACACAACUACCCAAGCACCACAUGGCUGGGCACAGGGGUCUCUUCAAUGCUGUAAACUUCGGUGAGAAAGUCCAGGCAGUUAAUCCUGAAGUGAAUUCACCCCAGGUGGCAGCAUGUGUUACAUGACCCAGCAGUUACAUGAUGCAGCCAAGGCAGCAGCCUUACAGGCAGCUGUAAAAAGCCCACAUGCAUAACAAACACAAAGCAGUCUGUUCUUGUUCUAGUACUUUGGAAUCUAUUUCUUCUGCUGCUUUUAGAUGCUUCACCAGCACAAUGCUUUCUUGUUAGGAUCCAUCUCAGUUUUUUAACGGUUUCAUUCACCCCUCUGCACAAUGCAACACCUUGUUCCCAAAAUUCUUUGCAUCAGAAAACAAAAACAAAACAAACAAAAAAGUGAAAGUCUUUAUAUGCAAAGAAGGAGCUAGCAAAGGUUUCAAAUGACAUACUGAGCAUUCUCAAAAUCUUGGCUUUUUGGUCUGACAGUCUUCCAGAGCUUUUGGAGGCAGUUUCACUACUGCCUUAAGCUGAUCCAAGUCUGACUGUCACCCAGAAAGAUUGUCUUGCCCUCCACAUAUGACAGCGUGAUCUUCUCCAUCUCCUCUGUGCCAGCUCCAGCUCUGGUUUAACAGGGCAAUGAGCCUGUACUGAAAAUUAAAAUUAAAAAACCUGUCUGAAAUUAUUAUUAUUUUUUUCCUAUAGUGUUAUUGUUCAGCCAGAUUGUCUCCUUUGCUACCAGUUUCAGGGUCUCAUGGCCACCAUAGAUGUC